GGUAUCCUGUCUGAAUAUGGGGGGACCAUCCUCCAAGGCUAAAUACUCCUGACUGACCGAUAGUGAACCAGUACCGUGAGGGAAAGGCGAAAAGAACCCCGGCGAGGGGAGUGAAAAAGAACCUGAAACCGUGUACGUACAAGCAGUGGGAGCACGCUUAGGCGUGUGACUGCGUACCUUUUGUAUAAUGGGUCAGCGACUUAUAUUCUGUAGCAAGGUUAACCGAAUAGGGGAGCCGAAGGGAAACCGAGUCUUAACUGGGCGUUAAGUUGCAGGGUAUAGACCCGAAACCCGGUGAUCUAGCCAUGGGCAGGUUGAAGGUUGGGUAACACUAACUGGAGGACCGAACCGACUAAUGUUGAAAAAUUAGCGGAUGACUUGUGGCUGGGGGUGAAAGGCCAAUCAAACCGGGAGAUAGCUGGUUCUCCCCGAAAGCUAUUUAGGUAGCGCCUCGUGAAUUCAUCUCCGGGGGUAGAGCACUGUUUCGGCAAGGGGGUCAUCCCGACUUACCAACCCGAUGCAAACUGCGAAUACCGGAGAAUGUUAUCACGGGAGACACACGGCGGGUGCUAACGUCCGUCGUGAAGAGGGAAACAACCCAGACCGCCAGCUAAGGUCCCAAAGUCAUGGUUAAGUGGGAAACGAUGUGGGAAGGCCCAGACAGCCAGGAUGUUGGCUUAGAAGCAGCCAUCAUUUAAAGAAAGCGUAAUAGCUCACUGGUCGAGUCGGCCUGCGCGGAAGAUGUAACGGGGCUAAACCAUGCAC
rnacentral:rRNA from 3 species